UAGCUCAGUGGUAGAGUGCUUGCCUUGCAUGCAUGCAGCUUUGGGUUCGAUUCCUCA
rnacentral:tRNA from 1 species